AAAAAUGUCCCCUUCCCGGAAUACCCUUCCUGUUUUGUUGGUCUGGAAACCCCUUACAUUUCAAAUGAAGAGGCACAUGUGGACUGAACCUAAGGUGAAACGGAUGAAUCCCUUGAAAAGGAGAGGGAACUUCUCUAUGAGUACAAGAAGAGAGACAACAACAGAGUAAUUCAUGAGAAGAUGGCAAACACCUUCUCACUGCGUCGUAAAGAUGUGAUCCAGAAACCACCUGUGGUUGACUUAUAUGCUCGAUGGCCUGCCCUGUUUGAGUUUUCCCAGAUCGAGGAGGAAU